UAGGGAAUUUUCGGCAAUGGGGGAAACCCUGACCGAGCAACGCCGCGUGAAGGAAGAAGGUUUUCGGAUUGUAAACUUCUGUUAUAAAGGAAGAACGGCGGCUACAGGAAAUGGUAGCCGAGUGACGGUACUUUAUUAGAAAGCCACGGCUAACUACGUGCCAGCAGCCGCGGUAAUACGUAGGUGGCAAGCGUUAUCCGGAAUUAUUGGGCGUAAAGAGGGAGCAGGCGGCAGCAAGGGUCUGUGGUGAAAGCCUGAAGCUUAACUUCAGUAAGCCAUAGAAACCAGGCAGCUAGAGUGCAG
rnacentral:rRNA from 1 species